rnacentral:rRNA from 1 species
AGUCACUGACAUUAGAUACCCCUGUAGUCCAGGGUGUAAACGCUGCAGACUUGGUGUUGGAAGCCCUUUGGGGGCAUUCAGUGCCGGAGAGAAGUUGUUAAGUCUGCUACUUGGGGAGUACGUCCGCAAGGAUGAAACUUAAAGGAAUUGGCGGGGGAGCACCGCAACGGGAGGAGCGUGCGGUUUAAUUGGAUUCAACACCGUAAAACUCACCAGGGAAGACUGUUACAUGAAGGCCGAGAUGAAGACUCUGCUAGAUUUUCAG